rnacentral:rRNA from 1 species
UUCCAGCUCCAAUAGCGUAUAUUAAAGUUGUUGCGGUUAAAAAGCUCGUAGUUGAAUUUGUGUCCCGCACUGUCGGUUCACCGCCCGCGGUGCUAACUGGCAUGAUUGUGGGACGUCCUGCCGGUGGAUGUAAGUGAGAGAUUUCGGUCUUUUGCACAUCCGACUUAUAAAUCCUGUCGCGGUGCUCUUAAUUGAGUGUCGAGGCGGGCCGGCACGUUUACUUUGAACAAAUUAAAGUGCUCAAAGCAGGCUAAUUAAUGCCUGAAUAAUUAGUGCAUGGAAUAAUGGAACAGGACCUUGGUUCUAUUUUGUUGGUUUUCGGAACCCCAAGGUAAUGAUUAAUAGGGACAGGUGG